UGGGCCGGGAAUUUCCCAUAUAAAUGCAAUUACCCAGGCUGGCUCGCCUAAGCGGGUUGAGUGUUAUUGCUCUGUUCACGCGAAUAUAUUGUUGUAAAUAAGAUUUUCUCAACUGAUUUCGAUCUUAAAAGGUCUCUGUGUGAACGAUUCUCUGUGUUAUAACCGUGAAAGUUGCUCGCGAAAGUGUGAAUUUCAAGUUCUUGAGAAAAUAUAUUUAUAUUGUACUAUUUAUAGUGGUUUGUUUUAAAAGUCUC